GGGGCGCAGCAGGCGCGAAACCUCCGCAAUGUGAGAAAUCGCGACGGGGGGAUCCCAAGUGCCAUUCUUAACGGGAUGGCUUUUCAUUAGUGUAAAAAGCUUUUGGAAUAAGAGCUGGGCAAGACCGGUGCCAGCCGCCGCGGUAACACCGGCAGCUCUAGUGGUAGCAACUUUUAUUGGGCCUAAAGCGUCCGUAGCCGGUUUAAUAAGUCUCUGGUGAAAUCCUGUAGCUUAACUAUGGGAAUUGCUGGAGAUACUAUUAGACUUGAGACCGGGAGAGGUUAGAGGUACUCCCAGGGUAGAGGUGAAAUUCUGUAAUCCUGGGAGGACCGCCUGUUGCGAAGGCGUCUAACUGGAACGGUUCUGACGGUGAGGGACGAAAGUUAGGGGCGCGAACCGGAUUAGAUACCCGGGUAGUCCUAACUGUAAACGAUGCGGACUUGGUGUUGGGGUGGCUUUGAGCUGUUCCAGUGCCGAAGGGAAGCUGUUAAGUCCGCCGCCUGGGAAGUACGGUCGCAAGACUGAAACUUAA
rnacentral:rRNA from 1 species